AACGAACGCUGGCGGCAGGCUUAACACAUGCAAGUCGAACGCAUCCUUCGGGGUGAGUGGCAGACGGGUGAGUAACGCGUGGGAACGUGCCCUUCAGUUCGGGAUAACCCAGGGAAACUUGGGCUAAUACCGGAUACGUGCGAGAGCAGAAAGAUGUUAUCGCUGAAGGAUCGGCCCGCGUCUGAUUAGCUAGUUGGUGAGGUAAUGGCUCACCAAGGCGACGAUCAGUAGCUGGUCUGAGAGGAUGAUCAGCCACACUGGGACUGAGACACGGCCCAGACUCCUACGGGAGGCAGCAGUGGGGAAUAUUGGACAAGGGGGGCAAGCCUGAUCCAGCCAUGCCGCGUGAGUGAUGAAGGCCUUAGGGUUGUAAAGCUCUUUCGGCGGGGACGAUAAUGACGAUACCCGCAGAAGAAGCCCCGGCUAACUUCGUGCCAGCCGCCGCCGUAA
rnacentral:rRNA from 1 species